rnacentral:misc_RNA from 1 species
UCCCUGUUACCAGGGCAGUCUAGCUAGAAAAAUACAACUAACUACAAGGGUUGCGCUCGUUGAAGGACUUAACCUAACAUCUCACGACACGAGCUGACGACGGCCAUGCAUCACCUGUCACUUGGCUUCCGAAGACACUUUCUCCUUUCGGAGAAAUUCCAAGGAUGUCAAGCCUGGGUAAGGUUCUUCGCUUACCAUCGAAUUAAACAACACGCUCCACCGCUUGUGCGGGUCCCCGUCAAUUCCUUUAUGUUUUAGUCUUGCGACCGUACUCCACAGGCGGGAUGCUUAACGCGUUAGCUUCGCUACAAGAAGGGUCGAUACUUCUUACAGCUAGCAUCCAUAGUUUACGGCGUGGACUAC